rnacentral:rRNA from 1 species
UACGUAGGGGGCAAGCGUUGUCCGGAUUUAUUGGGCGUAAAGAGCUCGUAGGCGGUUCGUCGCGUCGGCUGUGAAAUCCCGAGGCUCAACCUCGGGUCUGCAGUCGAUACGGGCGGACUGGAGUUCGGCAGGGGAGACUGGAAUUCCUGGUGUAGCGGUGAAAUGCGCAGAUAUCAGGAAGAACACCGGUGGCGAAGGCGGGUCUCUGGGCCGAUACUGACGCUGAGGAGCGAAAGCGUGGGGAGCGAACAGG